CUACGGGGGGCACCAGUGGGGAAUAUUGCACAAUGGGCGCAAGCCUGAUGCAGCCAUGCCGCGUGUAUGAAGAAGGCCUUCGGGUUGUAAAGUACUUUCAGCGGGGAGGAAGGGAGUAAAGUUAAUACCUUUGCUCAUUGACGUUACCCGCAGAAGAAGCACCGGCUAACUCCGUGCCAGCAGCCGCGGUAAUACGGAGGGUGCAAGCGUUAAUCGGAAUUACUGGGCGUAAAGCGCACGCAGGCGGUUUGUUAAGUCAGAUGUGAAAUCCCCGGGCCCGACCUGGGAACUGCAUCUGAUACUGGCAAGCUUGAGUCUCGUAGAGGGGGGUAGAAUUCCAGGUGUAGCGGUGAAAUGCGUAGAGAUCUGGAGGAAUACCGGUGGCGAAGGCGGCCCCCUGGACGAAGACUGACGCUCAGGUGCGAAAGCGUGGGGAGCAAACAGGAUUAGAUACCCGUGUAGUC
rnacentral:rRNA from 1 species